AGUGAACGCUGGCGGUAGGCCUAACACAUGCAAGUCGAACGGCAGCACAGUAAGAGCUUGCUCUUACGGGUGGCGAGUGGCGGACGGGUGAGGAAUACAUCGGAAUCUACUUUUUCGUGGGGGAUAACGUAGGGAAACUUACGCUAAUACCGCAUACGACCUACGGGUGAAAGCAGGGGAUCUUCGGACCUUGCGCGAUUGAAUGAGCCGAUGUCGGAUUAGCUAGUUGGCGGGGUAAAGGCCCACCAAGGCGACGAUCCGUAGCUGGUCUGAGAGGAUGAUCAGCCACAUUGGAACUGAGACACGGUCCUGGCUCCUACGGGAGGCAGCAGUGGGGAAUAUUGGGCAAUGGGCGCAAGCCUGACCCAGCCAUACCGCGUGGGUGAAGAAGGCCUUCGGGUUGUAAAGCCCUUUUGUUGGGAAAGAAAAGCAGCAGGUUAAUACCCCGCUGUUCUGACGGUAACCAAAGAAUAAGCACCGGCUAACUUCGUG
rnacentral:rRNA from 1 species